AUACGGAGGAUGCAAGCGUUAUCCGGAUUUAUUGGGUUUAAAGGGUGCGUAGGCGGUUUGCUAAGCGGGAGGUGAAAUGCCGGCGCUCAACGUCGGAAGUGCCUCCCGAACUGGUGGACUGGAAUGACUCUGCCGUGGGAGGAAUGUGUAGUGUAGCGGUGAAAUGCUUAGAGAUUACACAGAACACCGAUUGCGAAGGCAUCUCACGAAGGGUUGAUUGACGCUGAGGCACGAAAGCGUGGGGAUCAAACAGGAUUAGAUACCCUGGUAGUCCACGCAGUAAACGAUGAUGGCUAACCGCUGGGCUUAUCAGUUCAGUGGCCAAGCGAAAGCGAUAAGCCAUCCACCUGGGGAGUACGACCGCAAGGUUGAAACUCAAAGGAAUUGACGGGG
rnacentral:rRNA from 1 species